GACGGAGGAUGCAAGUGUUAUCCGGAAUCACUGGGCGUAAAGCGUCUGUAGGUGGUCAAAUAAGUCAACUGUUAAAUCUUGAGGCUCAACCUCAAAAUCGCAGUCGAAACUAUUAGACUAGAGUAUAGUAGGGGUAAAGGGAAUUCCCAGUGUAGUGGUGAAAUACGUAGAGAUUGGGAAGAACACCAGUGGCGAAGGCGGCUAUCUGGACGGUUUCUGACACUAAGACUCGAAAGCGUGGGGAGCAAACAGG
rnacentral:rRNA from 1 species